CCCAGACUCCUACGGGAGGCAGCAGUGAGGAAUAUUGGUCAAUGGGCGCGAGCCUGAACCAGCCAAGUCGCGUGAGGGAGGACGGCCCUACGGGUUGUAAACCUCUUUUGCCGGGGAGCAACGGGCGUCACGUGUGGCGCCACUGAGAGUACCCGGAGAAAAAGCAUCGGCUAACUCCGUGCCAGCAGCCGCGGUAAUACGUAGGGGGCAAGCGUUAUCCGGAAUUAUUGGGCGUAAAGAGUACGUAGGUGGUUUUGUAAGCGCGGGGUGAAAGGCAGUGGCUUAACCAUUGUAAGCCUUGCGAACUGCAAGACUUGGGUGCAGGAGAGGAAAGCGGAAUUCCUAGUGUAGCGGUGAAAUGCUUAGAUAUUAGGAGGAACACCAGUGGCGAAGGCGGCUUACUGGACUGUAACUGACGUUGAGGCUCGAAAGCGUGGGGAGCAAACAGGAUUAGAUACCCGUGUAUA
rnacentral:rRNA from 1 species